GUUUGAACAUGCAUUGGCUGCAGAAAUUCCAGGGGCUUUGCAUCCUAUAGGGGACUCAGAUGUCCAGGCGCACUGUCCACAUCCAUACCAGGCAACUGGCAUCGCUGCAGUGGGGCCACCAGGAAAUUCCUGCCAAAUUUAACUUUGCUAGUGAUGUGAUAAAUCACUGGGCUGGCAUGGAGACGGCUGGCAAGCGACCCCCCGGCCCAGCCCUGUGGUGGGUGAGUGGCGGUGGUGAUGAAGUGAUGUGGAACUUCAGCCAACUGAGUGAACUCAGCCAGCAAACAGCCAAUGUCUUCCCAGGGGCGUGCGGCCUGCAGUGUGGGGACCGUGUGGCAGUGGUGCUGCCCUGAGUGCCUGAGUGGUGGCUGGUGACCUUUGGCUGCACGUGAGCAGGCCUCGUCUUCAUGCCCGGGACUAUCCAGAUGAAAGCCAAAGACAUUCUCUAUAGGCUGAAGGUGUCUAAGGCCAGGGUCAUCAUGGCCGGGGACGAAGUGGCCCAGGCAGUGGACACUGUGGCACCUGACUGACCUUUUUUCUGAAAAUGAAGCUACUGGUGUCUGAGAAAAGCCGGGAUGGGUGGCUGGACUUCAAGACACUACUAUGGGGAGCAUCUACCACUCAUUGCUGUGUGGAGAAUGGAAGCCAAGAAGCAGCUGCCAUCUACUUCACCAGUGGGACUAGUGGCCUUCCUAAGAUGGUGGAACACUCCCACUCAAGCCUGGGAAUAAAGGCCAAGAUGGAUGCUGGAAUAUGGACAGACCAGCAAGCCUCUGAUAUAAUAUGGACUAUAUCAGACACAGCUUGGAGAGUGAAUAUCUUGGCCUCACUUCUGGAACCUUGGAUGCCAGGAACAGGCAUAUUUAUCCAUCUCUUGCCAAAGUUUGACCCACUGGUCAUUCUAAAG